UCGCCUUUGGAGGGGCUUGCGUCAGAUUAGCUUGUUGGUGGGGUAAUGGCCUACCAAGGCGACGAUCUGUAGCUGGUCUGAGAGGAUGGUCAGCCACACGGGGACUGAGAUACGGCCCCG
rnacentral:rRNA from 1 species